rnacentral:rRNA from 1 species
ACGCUCGACACCUACGGGAGGCAGCAGUGGGGGAUAUUGCGCAAUGGGGGAAACCCUGACGCAGCAACGCCGCGUGAAGGACGAAGGUUUUCGGAUUGUAAACUUCUUUUGUCAGGGACGAAGAAAUGACGGUACCUGACGAAUAAGCUCCGGCUAACUACGUGCCAGGAGCAGCGGUAAUCUGAGGCGGGCUGGCAAGGC